rnacentral:rRNA from 1 species
GUAGGGAAUAUUGGGCAAUGGUCGGAAGACUGACCCAGCCAUGCCGCGUGCAGGAAGACGGCCCUCUGGGUUGUAAACUGCUUUUAUCUGGGAAGAAAAAGGCCAUGCGUGGCAAAUUGCCGGUACCAGAUGAAUAAGCACCGGCUAACUCCGUGCCAGCAGCCGCGGUAAUACGGAGGGUGCGAGCGUUGUCCGGAUUUAUUGGGUUUAAAGGGUGCGUAGGCGGCUGAUUAAGUCAGCGGUGAAAGACUUCGGCUUAACCGGAGCAGUGCCGUUGUUACUGGUUGGCUUGAGUGUCGGAGGGGUACAUGGAAUUGAUGGUGUAGCGGUGAAAUGCAUAGAUACCAUCAGGAACACCGAUAGCGAAGGCAUUGUACUGGCCGACAACUGACGCUGAUGCACGAAAGUGUGGGGAUCGAACAGGAUUAGAUACCCGGGUAGUCC